rnacentral:tRNA from 1 species
GGGAAUGUAGCUCAGUGGUAGAGCAGUUGCAUAGCAUUUGCAAAGCCCUGGGUUCAAUCCCCAGCCCCA